CAGUUAUCAUGUUACCCAGAGGGUAAGAUGUUACAGCUGAAAGGUAGGCUUUACAAUUUUUUUAUUAUUUCCAGCCUAUCAAACAGAGUAAAUGUAUUAGAGAGAUUAUGCCUAAGAUAAAAGAAAAGAUAAAAGAAGAGGCUGAAUUUUUAAAAAAUCUGUUAGGAUGGAAUAUCAGUUAUUUGUGAAAUCACUGUGUUAUAUAAUAGGACUCAAAUUUCUAACUUAGAUAAGUGAAUUUGGACAAAUGGUGGUCUUUUGAGUCUAAAUUUUUUCACUUAUAAAAAGAAGUUGGAAUAGACGAUUUUUAAUAUUCUUCUACCUCAUGACUUCCAGCAUAACUAGAUAGGUACUCUUAUAUUUGAGGAGUUUAGAGGUCAUCUAACUUUGUUCAAGUACAUAAUUUUACAGAUGAUGAUGUAGAGGUUCAGAAUCCUUCCAGUGUCUUACCCAAAGCUGAGCCUAGAAUCCAUGUAUCCUGAUUUCUCUUUUCACUCCACCAUUUAAUUAUCUUCCCAAACUAUAAAAUCUUCUGAAUUACUCCUUUGGCUGUUGUAUGCAUACUUUAUAGGCUAAAUGCCUUAUAUAUUUAAAACUGUUGCAUUAAAUUUGCACCUUCAAAGGAUCUUUAAAUUACUUCCCAGCCAGAAGUUCCCACACAGCAGAUACCAUUUAUAUUUCUUAUUCUGGGCCUGAGUUUCUGUAUGUUUGGAAGUAGUCUCAUUGAGUCAUAAAAUGCGAUCAUGAGUGUAAAAAUAUGUGGAAAGCUGUAAAGCAUCUAUGACGACACUUUUGGUUGGCUACUCGGUAUUAAUUCUCAACCCAUCCUCCCUUGUUCACCGCAUGCUUUUUGGUGCCACAUGAUCUUCUUCUAACCAAUGAGUCUGCUGAGGAGGCCUCUGGGGAAGAUUGCAUUCUCUGAUAAAAGGAGGCAUGAGAGAACAGUUCUUCUACCAUUCUGGCUGCCUUUGAACACAUUCUUGAAGGAUGAAAUGUUUGGAACUGUGCUGUGGAGCUCCUCAGCUCUCUAUUAGAAUAUAUCAUUUGUUUCUCUAUGGAUGCUGUGAGAUACCCCAGGAAAUGCUCCACUAGCUGAAAAACUGUCAUCACAGUCUUCAUUACAGAAAGGUAUAAAAUAAACAAUUUGAGAUCAUGGUAAGUUUGCCAUUUCCUCCUGUCCUUCAUUCCUAAACUACCCUUUUCCUUCAUGAAUUCCUUUUCAAGACUAAUUUAAAUGGGCAUUGCUAUGGUAUUUUACUGCAUUGUGUCCAUCUCUUAAACAUAGGGGAGAAAAAUCUCAGGAUAAGUGACCUUUCGGGAUUCCUGGUCUCCAUUUCAAAUAGUCUCUGAAUGAGAUUUUUCAGAAUGUUCAUUCUCCCAUUUUUAUACAUACAUUUAUCAUAGCUAUCCCAACAUCGUGUUAUAAUAGGGUUGCUUAUUUCUUUUUCUAUGAAUUUAUUUCAUGUGUUUGAUAGACUCAAGACCCCACUUCCUUGUAGAAAUGGUAUAUAUCUAGUUAUGUACAGUUUCUAAACAUAAUGAUUUGUAUGACUAUACUCCUGAGGAACUCUCAUGGAAAUAAGGUACAUAUAGUGCGUGGUCUACUCCCAGGAGUGCUGCCCACAUUAUUCAUCUAAAGUUUGAAGAGGCUCUCCCUCUCAGGUGCACACCUGCGCCUUUCCUGUACCCCUGUGCUUUCCCGCAGGCAUAUUACCUUUACCUGUCUAUCUCCCAAGCUCUAAGGGCCCUUCUUUUGCCUCUAUAACUUGUUUCCUGCACCCAUUUCUUCUACAACUCACUUCUUCUAGCUCUGUGACUUUCUAAAUAAGCUUUCUUAUAGUUUGUGCCUUGCCUCUGAAUUCCUUUAUUAGCCCAACUAAGUAUCGAGAAUGCUGAAUAGAGGCCCAGUCUAACUCCAUCAGUCUAACACCUGGUGCUGUUUUUGAUACUGCCAACAAGUAUUUUGGAAGGAAGAGCACAGGAGAGGGAAAGAAUCAGUGAAGACAGAGUUGAGAAUGAGCAGUAAGGAGACAGGCUGAGCCCAAGAGAAAAUAAAACGUCCAGUGAGAAACUGCUGUGACUGGAAUCACCAAAGAUUUGUAAACAACUAGAUUAUCCCUCCUACUGGAAUCCUCAGGCCUUUCAUCAUGAAGACAUCAUAGAAAAGUAGAAAGGAUUUGAAUUCAACAUUGUCAUCUUGCCCUCGGGACACCCAACAGGCUGAAAUAAUUACAACUUUCUACAAACCCUCAUAUAUGGCACAGUAAGUUAUCAAUGAAAAAACAUACUGUUGCAAACAUUUUAGUUUAUAUUUUUGUU